AUGAAUAUGGAAGUGCAUGCUAUAAUCAGGGUGGAGAUGGAAUCAGCCUCAAAUGUCCUGGAGCAUAUAGUACUUGACCGAAGCGCGGAGCCGACUAAUCUGCCGUUAGCACUUUUAAAACACAUCACUGAGGAUUUCAAUGAUAAGCAACAAAUUGGCUGUGGUGGAUUUGGAAUUGUUUACAAGGGCGAUCUUCAAAACAGUAGUGUUGCUGUUAAAAGGAUUUUAAACUACCAUACAAUCAACGAUGAAUCAUUUAAUCGUGAGACUACUUCUCUAAUCAGUGUACAACACAAAAAUAUUGUACGGUUUCUAGGCUACUGUGCUAAUACAGAGAAUAAAGCGAUGAAACAUUCAGAAUCGGGAGAACCUUCGAAGUAUAUUUUUGCCGAGAUGAGGGAAAGGUUACUCUAUUUCGAGUAUAUAAAAAAUGGAAGCCUUGACAGAUAUCUUACUGACGAACUAAGGGGACUUGAAUGGCAUACGCGCUACCAGAUAAUUCGAGGAAUAUGUGAUGGUUUGGUUUAUCUUCACACAGAAAAGGGUAUUGUUCAUAGGGACAUGAAACCUGAGAAUAUACUGCUUGAUGAUCUUAUGAUACCAAAAAUUACAGAUUUUGGUAUUAUCAAAACUCCUUGA
rnacentral:rRNA from 1 species